GACGAACGCUGGCGGCGUGCUUAACACAUGCAAGUCGAACGGUGAAGCGCCAGCUUGCUGGAGUGGGGCAGUGGCGAACGGGUGAGUAACACGUGAGCAACCUGCCCCUGACUCUGGAGGAAGAGCUGUAAACGGCGUCUAAUACUGGAUACGAGAAGGGUCCGCAUGGGCACUUUCUUGAAAGUUGUUCGGUUGGGGAUGAGCUCGCGGCCUAGCAGCGUGUUGGUGAGGUAAUGGCUCACCAAGGCGACGAUGGGUAGCCGGCCUGAGAGGGCGACCGGCCCCACUGGGCCUGAGACACGGCCCAGACUCCUACGGGAGGCAGCAGUGGGGAAUAUUGCACAAUGGGCGAAAGCCUGAUGCAGCGACGCCGCGUGAGGGAUGACGGCCUUCGGGUUGUAAACCUCUUUCAGCAGGGAAGAAGCGAAAGUGACGGUACCUUAAGAAGAAGCACCGGCUAACUACGUG
rnacentral:rRNA from 1 species